rnacentral:rRNA from 1 species
AGUGAACGCUGGCGGUAGGCCUAACACAUGCAAGUCGAACGGCAGCACAGUAAGAGCUUGCUCUUACGGGUGGCGAGUGGCGGACGGGUGAGGAAUACAUCGGAAUCUACUUUUUCGUGGGGGAUAACGUAGGGAAACUUACGCUAAUACCGCAUACGACCUACGGGUGAAAGCAGGGGAUCUUCGGACCUUGCGCGAUUGAAUGAGCCGAUGUCGGAUUAGCUAGUUGGCGGGGUAAAGGCCCACCAAGGCGACGAUCCGUAGCUUGUCUGAGAGGAUGAUCAGCCACACUGGAACUGAGACACGGUCCAUACUCCUACGGGAGGCACCAGUGGGGAAUAUUGGACAAUGGGCGCAAGCCUGAUCCAGCCAUACCGCGUGGGUGAAGAAGGCCUUCGGGUUGUAAAGCCCUUUUGUUGGGAAAGAAAAGCAGCAGGUUAAUACCCCGCUGUUCUGACGGUACCCAAAGAAUAAGCACCGGCUAACUUCGUG